rnacentral:rRNA from 1 species
GCAAGUCGAGGGGUAACAUUGGUACUUGUACCAGAUGACGACCGGCGCACGGGUGCGUAACGCGUAUACAAUCUACCUUAUACUGGGGAAUAGCCUUUGGAAACGAAGAUUAAUGCCCCAUAGUAUUAUUGAAUGGCAUCGUUUAAUAAUUAAAACUCCGGUGGUAUAAGAUGAGUAUGCGUUCUAUUAGUUAGUUGGUAAGGUAACGGCUUACCAAGACAUCGAUAGAUAGGGGUCCUGAGAGGGAGAUC